AUCCCUAAUUUUUGCCCGAACCUUUCUUUCUGUUUUUGGUUCGCCGGGAUGCCCAUUUUUGCCUGGACUAUUUUGUUCUUUUCGUCCAGCGGGUCUCUUCAUACGAAGUAUUUUUUAACUGCGUCCAGGGAUGCCCAUUUUUGCCUGGACUAUUUUGUUCUUUUCGUCCAGCGGGUCUCUUCAUACGAAGUAUUUUUUAACUGCGUCCGCAUUCACAGGGGAUGGAAAAUCCUCGCCAUCCA
rnacentral:lncRNA from 1 species